rnacentral:rRNA from 1 species
GUCUACGGCCAUACCACCCUGAACGCGCCCGAUCUCGUCUGAUCUCGGAAGCUAAGCAGGGUCGGGCCUGGUUAGUACUUGGAUGGGAGAACCACCAGUUUAUUGACA